rnacentral:lncRNA from 1 species
CUAGGUAUCUGUUAUUUAAACUUUGAAAAAAAAAAUUAAUUCUGUGGAUACGUUUAUUUUCAUGGGUAUCAAUUUUCAUUGCAUGAUGAAACCAAUAGUAUGUGAUAGAUUUUUUUUCCUGAUUUUGCCAAUGUCUGCAUUCUAGCUUACAGAAAAUAUGUAAUUUGUUUGACAUAUUUAAAUUCGUAGUUCCCCCGUCUCUACAAAAUUCCAGGAAAAUUGGUGUCCCAUGAAUGAUAAUGAAUCCACAGUAAUCUGAUUAAUUUGGAGCUUAAAAUAUAUGCAGGAAAUUGUAUUUCAUAAUCAGUAAUGGAGAGUUUAAUCGUUUUGUAUGAAAUAUUACAGGAAACUUUACAUGUCUCCUUGGUGUAUACUACUUCUUGUGAUCAAAUCAUCAUUUAACAUACAAAUCACAAACAAUUGGUUCAGAUACACUACACCAUGACACGUGAGUAGUACACCAAUGGUAAAUUUACCAUUUCCAUUUGUCCAUUAUAUCUACAUUUUUGCCUAUUUCACAUUUAAAAUCAAAUUGUGAAAAAACUUGUUUUAGUAUUACAUUUGAUAGAAAAUAUAAUAAGAUGUGGUAUGAGUACCAAUGAGACAACUCUCCAUCCAAGUCAUAAUUUGUAAAAGCCUGUUGUAUGAUAUAAGAAAAUGAUUGGUUAAAAAUGACUGACUACUGUGUUUUGGACCAUAUUUAGAUUUGAUCUAUCUGUGUAAAUAUUCUUAAUGGACAAAAGGAAAUGCAAGAACCACUUGAGCAAAUACAUUAUAUUAUUAUAAAUUGUUUUUCUUAUUUCUAGGACAGUUUUUUGAAUUUCAUUUUACUUAUAUAUA